AUUUCCUUUAUUGGUCAUGGCAAAUUCUUCCUUCAGAGGCAGUGUUUUUAAUGACUAGUUAUUCAAACAAAAGGAAAAACUAGAUGAGGCCAAAAAAAAUCAGCUUUUUUAUAUUAUUAAGAGGCAUUUUAUAAAAAAAGGAAGAGAAACAAAAGAUGUGAAGAUGUGUAUCUGCAGCACCUUACUCCAAAGAGAUGGAGCUGGGCUAGUUGUCUCCCACUCUGGCUAGUCAGUCACAAGGUUAAGCAGAGUAUUUAAAGCCUAACCUGAAGAAAUCCUACGCAGACGCAUUUCUUUGUCCAAAGAUGUCUUGUUCAUAAUCACAAACUGCCAAUCCUCCUUGGCAGCUCGCCCAUACCUUUUGCGGGGUAUUUUUUUUUCGGGGGGGGGGGGGUGAGGGGGCGUUUGGAAUUUUGUCGUGCCUUUGGGAUCAUUUAUCUAUCCAUCUCAUGGCUCGAUGUGCAGCGGCGGCGGGUUUCUGGAAUGGGCACAGUGAGGGGCAGGAGGACGGGUUCUUAAUGAGAAUCGGAUGUCUCCAUUAUUAUCUUCGUGCCAUCUGGGGUGGCCCCCCAGUUGGCACCGGGCAGCUGAACCUCCAAAGUUGCAAAAGGAGAAGAGGGGAAGCUUUGGUGUGCAGCAAGGAGGGAGGUGGGGGGAGGUUAACAGCCACCUUCCGAGGUCCAAAGAGGCUGCCCUUCGCCCCGGCCCACACUGGACUGCCCUCUCCCAGGCGCUUAGUACAGUGCUCUGCACUGGAGGAAGCGCUCAGUAAACCCCUGCCGGAUGGAUUGCUCUCCCCCACCCCUUUUCCGGGACCCCCUCCGCGGGUGCCCCGGCAACUUUUCCAGGGAUUCUCCCUCUCCCCUCCAGAACUAGCCCUUACCUGGCCGGGUCCCAGGUGUCCGAGGCGUCCGGGGGUCCUCGGCCUCCGGAUGAACCUCGGUAGGAUGAGGCUUUUUUUAUUUUUUCUCCUCCUCCCUCCCCUUUUGGGAGAUGAAAUGAGGAGGAGGCGGAGCAGGAAAAAAAAAAAGGAGGAGGAGGAGGAAGGAAAAGGAGGCGGGGGGGGGGGAGGGAGGAAGAGGAGCUGCAAAGAGUGGUGCUGCAGCAAAGGAAGCCCAAUAGAGAGUCUACUAGUCCACUCCAGUGCCCGGUGCCCAUGAGGAAUGGAGGAAGCACCUCAGGAUCCUCGGUUGGGUUUGCUGCCUUGAGGGGCUUUGCGCCAUCUGCCGCUGCUAAACCAAUAACAGGAUUCCAGUAACCAAAGGCCCUUACCCAAUGCAGGUAAUAUAAGUAUGAGUAUACAGAUGAUAUCUUCCAGAUGGCAUACUGAAUGUACACAUCAGCUUACUAGAUUUUUCCAACUGCAUCCGCCAGAACCUUGAGGAUGUCAUCUGAAAAAAAGGAAGAUAUUUGGACUCCUGCCAUGUCUCUGCCUUUGUGGUUGGUGAGUCCUUCCCUAUUUUUUUGGAAAUAAGUAUUCACUGUCCUGUCAUGAUAAGGUUUGCUCAUUUGAUUGUUCUCACCAUUCACUUAGUGCAGUGCUUUGCAGAGCAGGUACUUAAUAAAUACUAUUGAUUGAUUUUCUACAGUGCUUGGCACAUAGUAAGGGCUUAACAAAUACCAUUAUUAUUAUUAUUUUUUUUGAACCACUUCACCAGGUGGUUACCUCUGCAAUAUCAAUUGUUGACUUUGAUUUCCUAUUGCAUACCUAAUUAAUUACUGCAACAAUCUGGUACAUUAUACUAGCUUUGUUUAAAUUAUCUCCAUCCACCUGGAGUCAUUCUGCUCCUUGUAUUAAAUGUUCCCAGUCACAAAUACUAUUCCCUGUCAGUUUUAAAUGCUUAGGUGUGUUUAACUGUUCU
rnacentral:lncRNA from 1 species